CAUGCUUUAGCAAAUAAAACAUUUUACGCGCUCGACCCACUGAUGCUAGACAUUGCUCUGACCAUCCUAACUUAUCAUUUACAAUGACCCCUAGAUCUUUGGUUGAGGUUUUUACACUCAGGAGUGUGCCAUUUAUAUGGUAAAGGUACUUUGGGUUGUUGUGGCCACACUGAAGUACACAGCAUUUUGCAAUAUUUAGUGGUAUUUGCCACUUCUCGCUCCAUUGGAAGAUUAAAUUAAGUUGGUCUUGCAAGUCCGUGACAAGUGGGUUAGCAAAUAACUUAAUAUCAUCCGCAUAUGCUGAAUAGCUGUCCAGUGAAAACAAUAAAUCUGCUGUAUAUAACAAGAAUAAAAUUGGUCCAAGAACUGAUCCCUGUGGGACCCCACUUAAUACUGGUUUAGAGUACGAAAAUUUACCACAGACUUUUACACAAUAGUUUCGAUUUGAUAGAAACGCUCGGAUCCAAUCAAGCAAAUUUCCUGUUACACCAUAGGACUCCAGUUUUGCUAACAAGAGAUUGUGAGGGACUUUAUCAAAGGCUUUACUAAAAUCAAGAAAAAUUAUGUCUACAGGUUGGUUAGUGUCUAACAUUUUUGUCCAUAGAUUUGUGCAGGAUAGCAAAUUUGUGACAACUGACCUACCUGGUAAAAAGCCGUGCUGAUGCUCAGCAUGUCGACGUGAGACUUACAGGUCUAUAGUUAGCAGGAUCAAGUUUAUCUCCUGACUUGUACAAAGGCGUGAUUGUUGCUUGCAACCACUCGUAGGGCAAAGUGCCUUGUAAGAAUGAUUUUGUCAUCAUUUUGGCAAGUGGGCCCGACAACGAAGCAGCACAAGUUCUCAGGAGUUUGGGAGGUAUCUGAUCCGGACCUGGAGCUGUAUUUAAUUUAAUGGCACAGAGUUGGCUUUUUACCAGAUCCGGAGUAAAAUUAAUAUAAGACAACCCACUAAAUGUAGCAGCAAAACUGUCCGCUAAAGUGUUUGCAGUUUCUGUAUGAUCGGAGCAGAGUAGACCUGAAGCAUUUCGUACUAAAGGGACCGACACACGACUAGAGAUAAAUUUACGUACAUGGGAAUAAAAUAGUUUUGGUUUAUUUAAUAUAGAAUUUUCAUAAUUACACCUGGCUAUUUGUAAAUCAGAUUUUAGUUGGUUAGAAAAUCUUUUAUAAGCAGAAAAAUUAUCUUCAGUAGGCUUCCUUUUAAAUUUUUUCCAUAAUUUAGCUUUGUAUUUUAUUUUGUCAAGCAUGUGUUGAUUUAUCCACGGUUUAUCUUUUCUCAGUCGGUUUGUAAACAGUCUGGAAUUUGUUGUAAUGCAAGUUUGUAAAAUCGAUUUAAAAUGUUUCCAUUGUUCUUCCGCAUUUAGUGAAUCUAAACCAUUCCAGUCGUAAGUCAAGAGACUUUCGUCUAUGCGAGUGUAGUCAACAAUUGAUGUUGUUUUAAUUCUUGCAUUUGGCUCUGAAUAUAUCAUAAUUUGUAACUCAAUUUCGAUUUUUGAAUGAUCAGAUGUACCUACAGGAUUCGAAACGUUUAAAGACGAUACAAGGUUAACGUCAGACAAAAUUACCAAAUCAAGUAAUGAAGGACGUUGUUGGGAUCUAAAUCGUGUAGGUUCAGUGACUAUUUGUGACAAAUUAUUCUCCAAGAGCAAUUCAGAAAAUUGUUUUUCGAUGAUUGUUUGACCUGUUGUGUUUUUAGCAGACCAGUCUAUACAUGGAAAAUUGAAAUCUCCCAUGAUAAUUAAGUUAGGAUACUGAUUAAUAGUUGAUUGUAUGGUAUUAAAUAGAUUUUUAUCAUUUUCGUGAUUGUUAAAAGACGCUCCUGUUGGUGGUCUGUAAAUACAUGCUAUAACAAAGG